AUUGAACGCUGGCGGCAUGCUUUACACAUGCAAGUCGAGCGGCAGCGCGGGGGGCAACCCUGGCGGCGAGCGGCGAACAGGUGAGGAAUACAUCGGAACGUACCCCGGAGUGGGGGAUAACGCCGCGAAAGCGGCGCUAAUACCGCAUAUGCUCUGAGGAGGAAAGUGGGGGACCUGCAAGGGCCUCACGCUCUGGGAGCGGCCGAUGUCCGAUUAGCUAGUUGGUGGGGUAAAGGCCCACCAAGGCGACGAUCGGUAGCUGGUCUGAGAGGAUGAUCAGCCACACUGGGACUGAGACACGGCCCAGACUCCUACGGGAGGCAGCAGUGGGGAAUUUUGGACAAUGGGGGCAACCCUGAUCCAGCCAUGCCGCGUGCGGGAAGAAGGCCUCGGUUGUAA
rnacentral:rRNA from 1 species